CCCCCUCACACCUCCCAGAGCCCCUCUCAUCCCCUCACAGAAUCACAGAAUGGUUCAGGAAGGACAAUUUCAGACUGUCAGAAGGGCAUCCCUAAAGGGGCAGCCAGAGGGCACAGACCUGCAAUAAUGAGUGCAACUGCCUCUCCUUCCCUAAAAGGGAAAAAAAAAAAAAGACUGAAAUAAAGAACUGAAAUCUUCUCUCAGCUUUGGCUGUGCUCCCACAGCAUGGACAAGGUGAGUUACCACCCCAGCCCAGGAGUGCUUGAACAGUGCCAUUUGACAGCUGCUGAUUAACCUGUGUGGUCGGUCGAGCAGCAAAGUGACAGGUGCCAUACAGAAGCCAGACACUUGAACUGUCUCCACUUGUGCAAGCUGGUGGCCUGGAGUAUCUGUUUCUGUGAGGCUGCCAAUCCAGCAUCUGCCACAAGUGUCUAGUUCAGAGUGAGAAAACAAAGGGAAGUCCCAAUGACACAUCUUCCAGCUGCAAUCCCAAAGUGUCAUAGGAGGACAAUAGAAUGCCUCUUCUGCAAUGAAUGAGUGGGUGUUAUUACAAAAUCACAUAAAAUAUGAACAGGGUUGAAUUUUAAGUCUACCAAAGACAGCAAACAGACACGAAAUGUGUCUAAUUUUAGGAAACUUGGGAGUUUUGCUCUACAAUAUCCUUGAAGAAAGUUGUAGUAAGAUAAAUGUCACGACUGUAUGUGGUAACAGUAUUGUAACUUCUGUUAGAAAUUGUGAUGUAUGAGAUGUGGUAAUCUCAUUCUUCUGUGCUUCCAGGCUGUAUUUACAGGGAGGGAGACAGAAAGAAAAAAAAAAGAGCCAUUAUGCCAUUUUACAUGGUGACUUAUUGUCUCAGAAAAUGAGAAGAUCCUUAUUCUUUCUACUUAUUUUUGUCAGUACAACAGCACUGCCCUAUGCAGUCUGCAGUCUCCUAUUCUUCUGCUGUGUCUUCUCUCAUGUGUAUUUGAGGGUUUUUAAAAUAACUUACUCUCCCUUGGCCCAUACUUUUUUUCUCCUCCUCCUCCUCACCUCCACAUACACAUACAAAUUUUUGUUUAAAUUUAAAUGUAACAAUUUCCAAAAAAGAUGGUAUCUAAUCCACAGGUCUGAUCUGUGUAUCUUACCAUUUGUAGGGAAUGCUGAUAAUCUUUGUAAUAGGCUUAAAUAUGGUAUUUGACUUUGAAGCACCAGCUAUACACAUCCUGCCUUAAAACCCCACUCAAGUCAUUUCCCCAAAGAACAUAUACGUUACAAUUGCCUGCAUUUUUGACUGUCUAACUUUAUAAGUCACCUGGUGUUCAUACAGCAACUUCCAUCACCAAUUUCAGACAGUCUGGACUUGGGAGCCCAGUCUGAUCCAAGCAGCAGUGGGGCAAUACUGGAGCAGGAGAAUAGAAAGUCCAUGGUCUGGGAAGGCACAGAGGUAAACCAGAGAAGAGGAAAAGACAGGAGCCUGAGGCCAGAGAGAAGAGAAGGCUGAUAAGGAGUUGCAGCCAAUACAGCAGACAUAGGCCAGGCAAACAAAUGUCUUUUCCAGGAAAUGAUCACAAAGUGUCCAAGAGGGAACUUACCUCAUCCAAAGGCUUUGUAUCAGACAGUCCUGACCUGAGCCUUUGAGACAUGAGCCUGAUGGCUGAGGUCUAAAGGAGAAAGCAAACCUCAUGCAGAAAGCUCUAAAAGGAUGGCAGCCUGCAAGGAGUAAGCAAACAGCUGAAGUCUGGAUGUAGGGAAAAGAUGUAACAGUUAUGUGCAAGGCAGACAUCUGAAAGACACUGGAUUUACAUUUAAGCUUUUCAUAUUUUGAGAAUUUCUGUUUAGAAAAAAAAGCCAGACGUGAAAAGGGAGGAAAUACACAGUUACUAUAACACAAAAAAAACCUGAGCCAAUUCACCAAGCCAAAACAGCCCUGGAGGGACUGGUCUGUCUGAUCUUUCACAGAUUGUAGCUUUAGAGCAUGAAAUACACACACAAAAAAAUAAAAAAAAAAAAAGAAAGAAG